UGGGGAAUAUUGGACAAUGGGCGAAAGCCUGAUCCAGCCAUGCCGCGUGAGUGAAGAAGGCCUUCGGGUUGUAAAGCUCUUUUAGUCGGAAAGAAAGAGUUGCAAUGAAUAAUUGUGAUUUAUGACGGUACCGACAGAAAAGCAACGGCUAACUACGGGCCCGCAGCCGCGGUAAUAAGGAGGGUGCGGUCGUUAAUCGGAAUUACUGGGCGUAAAGGGUGCGCAGGCGGUCUUGCAAGUCAGAUGUGAAAGCCCCGGGCUUAACCUGGGAAUUGCGUUUGAAACUACAAGACUAGAGUGCAGCAGAGGGGAGUGGAAUUCCAUGUGUAGCAGUGAAAUGCGUAGAGAUGUGGAAGAACACCGAUGGCGAAGGCAGCUCCCUGGGUUGACACUGACGCUCAUGCACGAAAGCGUGGGGAGCAAACA
rnacentral:rRNA from 1 species